GGGACUUUGGGGGCGGGUUUUGGCGGGAAAAUCUGUAAUGUUUGGAGAAGACAAGAUGGCGCCGGUUGCCUCGUGUUAUAUCAAAGGGCAUUUUUGUUCACAAAUACCCGCUUAUUUUACGUUAUAGCGACUGGUUCGUUUUGGAAAUUAUAACUCAAUGGACGGGGGAAAUGAUUCUGUAUUAAAGAGAAAAUGAUGUGCAGUUAUUGUGAUGUUAUUUGUUGUGAAAGACGGCCUGAAAUUUCGCUACUUCGCAGUACUGGUUUAUAAAACAUUUACAAGCAACAGCAAUUGAACUAUAUGACAAAGAA
rnacentral:lncRNA from 1 species